rnacentral:rRNA from 1 species
AGAGUUUGAUCCUGGCUCAGGAUGAACGCUGGCGGUAUGCCUUAUACAUGCAAGUCGUACGAGAGUUUUUAACUCUAGUGGCGGACGGGUGAGUAACACGUAAGAAUUUGCCUUUAGGAGGGGGACAACAACUGGAAACGGUUGCUAAUACCCCAUAUGCUUUCGAGUGAAAUGGAUUUCCGCCUAAAGAGAAGCUUGCGGCUGAUUAGCUUGUUGGUAGGGUAAUGGCCUACCAAGGCGACGAUCAGUAUCUGGUUUGAGAGGACGAUCAGACACACUGGAACUGAGACACGGUCAGACUCCUACGGGAGGCAGCAGUAGGGAAUUUUCCGCAAUGGGCGAAAGCCUGACGGAGCAAUACCGCGUGAGGGAUGACUGCCUAUGGGUUGUAAACCUCUUUUUUCAGGGAGGAAUAAAUGACGUGUACCUGAAGAAUAAGCAUCGGCUAACUCCGUGCCAGCAGCCGCGGUAAGACGGAGGAUGCAAGUGUUAUCCGGAAUCACUGGGCGUAAAGCGUCUGUAGGUGGCUCGACAAGUCAACUGUUAAAUCUUGAAGCUCAACUUCGAAAUCGCAGUCGAAACUAUCGAACUAGAGUAUAGUAGAGGUAAAGGGAAUUUCCAGUGGAGCGGUGAAAUGCGUAGAGAUUGGAAAGAACACCGAUGGCGAAGGCACUUACUGGGCUAUUACUGACACUCAGAGACGAAAGCUAGGGUAGCAAAUGGGAUUAGAUACCCCAGUAGUCCUAG